GAUGAACGCUGGCGGCGUGCCUAAUACAUGCAAGUCGAGCGAACAGACGAGGAGCUUGCUCCUCUGACGUUAGCGGCGGACGGGUGAGUAACACGUGGAUAACCUACCUAUAAGACUGGGAUAACUUCGGGAAACCGGAGCUAAUACCGGAUAAUAUAUUGAACCGCAUGGUUCAAUAGUGAAAGACGGUUUUGCUGUCACUUAUAGAUGGAUCCGCGCCGCAUUAGCUAGUUGGUAAGGUAACGGCUUACCAAGGCAACGAUGCGUAGCCGACCUGAGAGGGUGAUUGGCCACACUGGAACUGAGACACGGUCCAGACUCCUACGGGAGGCAGCAGUAGGGAAUCGUCCGCAAUGGGCGAAAGCCUGACGGAGCAACGCCGCGUGAGUGAUGAAGGUCUUCGGAUCGUAAAACUCUGUUAUUAGGGAAGAACAAAUGUGUAAGUAACUAUGCACGUCUUGACGGUACCUAAUCAGAAAGCCACGGCUAACUACGUG
rnacentral:rRNA from 1 species